GCAUAUCAAUCAGCGGAGGA
rnacentral:rRNA from 1 species